rnacentral:rRNA from 1 species
GACGAACGCUGGCGGCGUGCUUAACACAUGCAAGUCGAACGGAAAGGCCCUGCUUUUGUGGGGUGCUCGAGUGGCGAACGGGUGUGUAACACGCGAGUAACCUGCCCCUGACUUUGGGAUAACUUCAGGAAACUGGGGCUAAUACCGGAUAGGAGCUCCUGCUGCACGGUGGGGGAUGGAAAGUUUCGGCGGUUGGGGAUGGACUCGCGGCUUAUCAGCUUGUUGGUGGGGUAGUGGCUUACCAAGGCUUUGACGGGUAGCCGGCCUGAGAGGUUGACCAGGCACAUGAGUACUGAGAGACGGACCAGACGCGAACGUGCGGCAGCGGUGGGAAGUCUGACGGAGCAGCGGGGAGCGUGAGACAGCGGUGCCGCGUGCGGAAUGACGGCUUUCGGGGUAUAAACCGCUGUCUCCUGUAACAUGCAGGUCGUGACGGUAAUUGGUCAGAAAGCCCCGGCUAACUACGUG